rnacentral:rRNA from 1 species
CCUACGGGUGGCAGCAGUGAGGAAUAUUGGUCAAUGGUCGGGAGACUGAACCAGCCAAGCCGCGUGAGGGAUGAAGGUACAGAGUAUCGUAAACCUCUUUUGUCAGGGAACAAAGGCGGGGACGUGUCCCCGGAUGAGUGUACCGUAAGAAAAAGCAUCGGCUAACUCCGUGCCAGCAGCCGCGGUAAUACGGAGGAUGCGAGCGUUAUCCGGAUUUAUGGGGUUUAAAGGGUGCGCAGGCGGUCUGUUAAGUAAGCGGUCAAAGCCCGGGGCUCAACCCGGGCCCGCCGUUGAAACUGGCAGUCUCGAGUUGGAGAGAAGUAUGCGGAAUGCGCGGUGUAGCGGUGAAAUGCAUAGAUAUCGCGCAGAACUCCGAUUGCGAAGGCAGCAUGCCGGCUCCACACUGACGCUGAGGCACGAAAGCGUGGGUAUCGAACAGGAUUAGAUACCCCUGUAGUC